AUGUUCACUCUGCUGGUCUCCUGUCACGUUUGGUUCCUGCUCUCAGGUCUGAUCGGCUGCACGGAAAACUCCACAGCGAUCUGGUUUUCAGUCCCUGAGAAUCACCACGUCUGUCUGCCCUGCGGCAGCUCUGGCAGCUCCGACGUGAUCUGGACUCUGCAGGAUCAGGAGGUCCUGGUGACCCGACGAGGCAGCUACAAGACCAACAAGGACCGCCAGCGCUACCUCCUCAUGGUUAAUGGCAGCCUCUGCAUCCUGCAUCUGGAGGAGUCGGAUCAUGGAGGAUACCGCUGUAACCAGCAGCUGGUGGCUGAGCUGCAGGUGCUGACAGGUCGGAACUACACGGUGUCCGCAGGCCGGACGCUGCUGCUCCCCUGCAGCGGCUCCUCCAAACCCAAACAGAGGUGGUUCCAGCAGAGGGAGGGCGAGAGGCGGGAGGCCGUCCUCACCAAGUACAGAAACGGUACGGUGAAACCAGAGAGGGGCGGCGGCCGGCUGAGCUUCACCAACGACGCCCUGCAGAUCCAGGACCUGCAGCCAGAGGACGCUGGAGAGUACGUCUGCAACGGGGUGCUGCAGGCCAGAGUCACGGUCCUCACAGCACACGCAGAGACGAGCAGCCAGCCUCCGUCCACCAGCACAACUCCAUCACCUGCAGUCGUGACAGCAGAAGUGGAAGAAAUAAAGAAGAAGAGCAACACGAGACCUGAGAACGUUCUGCUGCUGGUUGCUGUCGUCAGUGUGGGCUUGAUGAUCAUCUUCUUAGCUGCUGUCUGUGUGUUGCUGACCAGCAUGAAGUGCAGGAGGAAGAAACGCAGAGCUGCAGCAGCACCGACACGUGACGACACGGAGCUGCAGCCGUGGACGACGUCCAGCGCACCGACAGAGGGUGAGGACUUAGAGACCCCGCCCCUCUGUGGGGAGACGAUCCACUACGCCUCUCUGGGCCGACAGAACUGGAGGGAGAGACCCAGCAGGAGUCCGCCGGAGCAGAGCCACCACAGCGUCAUCUACUCCUCCGUCAUCAGCAGACCUGCAGCGAGAGCUGAGCACAAACUCUGAAAGCUAAAGUCUGAAUGUACAGUCGUGUGACGGGAAGCUUUAAAAUCACAUCCCUGUGUGAAAGUGCAGCUUAGUUUCACUUUGGCCAAAAUACACCUGUAACACAAGCUGUUAAACUCCUGUCAGUCAGUUUGGUUUUCAUGUUUCACUUUCACUGUCUGCUUCAGGCAGCAGAGCUGGUUUCACAGAGACUUUACAUGUUACACCGAGGAGUCGUUUACACAUGUGGAGCGUCACAUCUGGACAGGCUGCCGUCUUUAUAAACAGAGGUCAGGACAGAUCGUGGUGUCAGAAUCAGUUUAUUAGUAAAAGACAAGCAAAGUGUGGAAUCUGUUCAUGGAAGCAGAGGAACUCACACAGACUCAGAGCAGCACAGCAGACAGAUGUUUAAACACAGCAAGAAAACAAACUCACAGACAUGAAGAUUAAAAACUGACCCGAGGAAACUAUUCACACAUUUAUGGGUAAAAAUAGAUUUUCUUUAGUUCAGUAAUUAUUUUUUGAAAGUCUCCCUGCUGUGGCAGCAUUUACAUUUAUGGCUGUUACUUUAUUAUUAACAGGAAUGUUUUACAAACAUUUUAUUUUCAUUGCAACUUUCUGGAUAUUUAACAUUUAAAGGUUCUUAAACUCUCUGUUUUUCUGCUCACUGAAAAAUAAAUCUUCACUGUUUACACAAAAAACAGAAAAAAAUAAACUAAAAUCUAGAUUUUUAAAUCUACUAAUCAAAUAUUUUCACAGUUUUAUUAAUUAAAAAAAAUCAUUUACGCUCAUUUAAAGUGCUUCUAUCUGUGGUGAUGUGAUGCCUUUGAGUUCUUGCACGUGUUCACUGUUGAGUACAGGACCUUCUCUUCAGCCAAUCCGGUUCCUCUCCUGGUGGUGGGGCGGGGCUUGUCUGGAUGCUUCAGGCUGGAAUAAUGCAAAGACUCUUCCUGCAGAGAUACAAAGAGUAAAAAAUCUGAUUAAACUGCAGGUUUGCUGCCAAACUAACAUGAUGCUGUGAGGUCACUGCAUUUGGCUUCCCUGCACUUCGUCGUGCUCAGCACAGACCCGUGAAUCCUCUUCAGUUCAGCCUGUGCUGAAUAAAAAAGCUGCCAAAUAUUUAUGUACAUGUUUCAGUGAAAUCACCUUUUCCUAUUUUACUGGCAAAACAUAAAGAAAUGAGGGUUGGCUCAAGACUUUUGCACAGUGCUGCAUGUGGAGCUUGUUUUUAGACUGCAGUAAUAAAACAGAAUAAAUGUUUGAAACUCACAGACUGAGAGAUUCACUCAUUUUAAUUAUUUGCUCGUAAAGUAGGAAAUAUGAUUUUUAAAGACUGUUCGUGACCUUCCACUGACCUCUGUGACCCGGUGAUCGGCGUCCCGUCUCCGUGGGUUACAGCAGGAGCAAACAGGUUUACCUGCAGAAGAAACGAGACAUGGGACAGGUGAGGAAGACGAAGCUGACUCAGAGCGGGCGAUGUGACCGUGAGGACGUCAGAACAUCUGAUCGGCCCUGAUGUACGCCUACAUCAGAGCUCAGCACAGGCAGCAGCAUAAUUAACUCAUUAUUGAAUCAAUGAAGGGAUUUUAUCCUGUUCCACUUGUGUCACACAUGACCAGCUCCUGUAUUUUGAUUGGCUCCGGUUUAUCAAAUCGAACCAUGUGACUCCCUACUGACACCUACAGGUGACCCGCAGAGGUGACAGAGUUACAUGCGGGACUUCAUCCUCCAGCAUGACCCCCACCGUCAGCCUGUACUGUGCCAAAAUAAGACUCAACACAAGGGGGCGCUGUAGCUGCCUCCACAGCAAACAAUGACUUUUUGUCAUGAUAACGGAGAUAGAGAUAACUCUUUAUUACUGUGACAAUACAACAACUCAUGAUGAUGAGUUUCAGUGUACACCCCCUCCAUCCUAAAACGAAAAAGGUGUGUUUGCCUUCUGUGAAACUGUAUGUUAAGCCCCGCCCCCGGCGUGUGUAAGUGAAAGCGAAAGUUUGGGGAGCUGUCCGAGGGGCAGACGUCGAGCUUCUCUUCCGUCUCUGCUCGUUUUUCAGCUCGGUUCCGACCUUUGUGUCCUCAGAGGGGGGCAGAUAUUUGUCCUGUGAAGCCGGAGGACCCCGCCUGCUGUCCCGCCGUCCUCUCAGCAGCAGCAUGCCGGACGUCAGGCUGUGCCUGGAGGCCGUCUCUGCGCUCCUGGGCUGCAGAGCCGAAGCGACCACCGGAAGCUCCCAGUUCACCCCGCAGGAUCUGGUCAACGUCGUGGCCCUCAAAGAGUUUUACAAGCAGGAGGGCUUUAAAGAGCUGGAGUACCCCAGCUUGGGGACGCUGUCUCUGCACGAGUUAGACGAAGCCGACAUGUACAGCUCCCCCCCGGCCCUGGAGGCGCCUCCGGAGAGAUCCCAGCUCACUGUGGAAAUCAACACGGAGAACUUCUUCCAUCCUCAGUACGACUACGACUUCACCAACGUCAAGGUGAGCGGCACGGGCCUCUCGGGUCACGUGACCCAGCGGGUUUCUCACACAGCUGCACGAUGAUCUUUAACUGCACGGUGACUUUUAUUCAGCACAGAUCUGGGUUUGCUGUUAAACACGGAGGUGACACAGAGGGAGGGCCACACUCAGCGUGGAAAAACAAACCCAUAAAAAUAAAAUACCUGAGCUUUAAACAAAGGCAGGAAGGUCAAAGGUCGAGUUCAAAGGGCCAGACUCACACGUUCUCUGUGAGUGUCAUUUUAAACACGGCGCUGGAAUAAACUCCGACAGUCUGAUCAACUUUAUGAUCGAUGGUCAAGUUUUAGAGGGAAACAAAUGAAAGCAGCUCAAAGUGAAACUCAGCCCUGAUUCCUGAGCAGCUCCAGACUUUCUGGAAAUGCUGCUGCGCUGAAACUGAAAGUGUGUGUGUGUG
rnacentral:lncRNA from 1 species